rnacentral:snRNA from 1 species
AGAUGUGAGUGCGAUCUGGCUGCCACGUCUGCCACUCACUGAUCACCAGGGUUGACUGGCUGAUCUGGCUAGUCAGACAGGUGCCCUCCUCCUCCCCCACCGCUCCAUGUGCGUCCCUCCCAGAGCUGCACACUCGCUGAAGAGGAUGACCUUCCCCCAUAGAGGAUGACCUUCCCCCAUAGAGGACGGCCCUUCGUCAGUCAAGGGUACACGUGUAGCUAUGCUUCCCUACCAGAACUUCCCAACACGCUCUCAAGGUCCAUUUGUAGAAGAAAGUACGGUAAUCAAGCUUCCAGAAGUCCAGACACAUCCAAACGAGGUGCUGCAAGUGGCAGCCUGCCUUUCUUA